rnacentral:lncRNA from 1 species
GUCCAGUCUGCUGCUCCCCCACCCUCCCUCCCACCACUGGCCAGGGCAGCUGUGGGCACUGGCUCUUCCCCUCACCAGCCCCGCCCAGCUCUGUCCGUCUGUCCUUCAAAGGGGCAGGGGUUCAGCAGGGCGAGGGACAGACACCAUCCCAGGCUGAGCCCUCUACUGUACCCUGGGCUGCCCUCAAAGGGCCCGAGUCACCCUGGAUGGCUGCAGAACGGCACCGGUCCCCUUCAGCUCCCCUCCCCCAAGCUACUGGGGCCUGGCCCAGCCUCAGUGCACCUGCCCCAUACCUUGCGAUGUGCCAACAUCACCAUCAUCGAGCACAAGGAGUGUGAGAAGGCCUACCCCGGCGACAUCACAGACACCAUGGUGUGUGCCAGCGUUCAAGAAGAGGGCAAGGACUCCUGCCAGGGCGACUCUGGGGGCCCUCUGGUCUGUAACGGAUCUCUUCAAGGCAUUAUCUCCUGGGGCCAGGAUCCAUGUGCUGUCUCCAGAAAGCCUGGUGUCUAUACAAAGGUCUGCAAAUAUGUGGACUGGAUCCAGGAGACUAUGCAGAACAAUUAGCAGGACAAAUUGACCCCAGCCCCAAACCCCCGACCCCUACUUGGUGCUGUGGUUCCUGUUCAUUCAGCUAAUAAUAAAGCAGCCUAAGCCAGG